UGUUUACGGUGACCGUGACCGGAAACCUGCCGUCGGUAGAGAUUUGGUUCAACCACACGACUUUUAUCCAGAAUCUGAGCCAGAGGGAGAGGCUGCUGAAGAAGUUCAAACUCUACAACUGCAGCAGGACGUUUCUGAAUGGUGCUCCUGUGGAAACUGUGCAACCAUGCCCACAGAAGCUGAGAACAUCUGCUGCUAGGAGAUACCACAGGUUACCAGAUGGCUAUGGGAGAUCGUGGAAGAUUUACCAUGUAUGGUAGACCGUCCUGGGUUGGAGCCGCUCUGCCUCAAUGUGUUCUGCCUGCAACAUGUACCGCACUGACUAUGGUCCUUUACGGUUGAGAGGAAUACACCAAAUCUGGGUCGUCAUUCCAGCCUGCGUGGUCCUACGCAUCCAUGCCGUGUUUCCUGACGCCACAGGCCGGUAUGUGGGUUUUAGACUGGCCCAUGAUAGAACCGGGACACAGAGCUGGAUAUGACCUCCUCCUUCUCAGGCCGCUCCAACUGUGCAGUGAGGUCCUCUGGGAUGGGGAUGGCCAAAGCAGCUUCUGUGUAUGGUCCCAGGUCACAAAGACUUUUUCAAAUAUGAGGUCCACCACAUUCCCUGUUUGAUAAAACACAAAAGAUUUUGUUUACAUUUUUCACUCUUUUUUUUUUUUUUUACAAAACAAUGACUGAGUCUGUUUCAAAAAUUCAUCUUUACUGUAUUUUGUUGUUGAUGGAACUGUCAUAACAUUAUAUGUGCAAUAUUUAAUACAAUGUGUACAAAACAUUUUUUGGUUGAAAAAUAAAAUAAUAUAACACUUAUAGAAUGUCGCCUCAGUCUUAACUGGUGUAGCUCUGCAUUCUCCCUUCAUGGCCUUUGGAAAUUGGACCUUGAACUUUUGUUUGGGCUUGUGGUCGGUCAGCAUUUUCAUUGUAGUACAUGGCAGCCAGGUGACAGAUGAUGACAGAAACCUUAGCCUACACACUCUCACAAGUUCUAAGUAACCACAGCUUCAUUUACCUGCACAUUAUUCCAAGACUGAUAAAUGACUGUUAGGUUUAUCAAAAGUAGAUGCACUUCAGAUGGCUACAGACCUGUACUUCUGA